AUGGAUUUGGAGUUGAUUUUUGUUUUCCUUGUUGCUCUUUUAAAAGCUGUCCAGUGCAAGGAUCACCUAGUGUAUUCUGGGGGUCAUCUGGUACAGCCUGGGGCAUCCCUGAAACUCUCCUGUGUAGCUUCUGGAUUCAGUUUUACUAGAGAUUGGGUGAAAUGGGUCUGCCAGGCUCCUGAGAAGGGGCUGGAGAGGGUUGCAGACAUUAAUGGAGACAACAGUGCCACAAGGUAUGUGCCUUCCGUGAAGGGCCAAUUCUACAUCUCCAGAGACAAUGCCAAGAAUACUCUGUACCUGAAAAUGAACAAUCUAAAGUAUAAGGACACAGCCACCUUUUACUGGGCUAGCUACACAAUAAUGAGACUUAAGUGUGAACCCAGACAUAAACCUCACCCUGAGGCCAUUCAUGGCCACCAGGGGGAACACAGCACAAACAGACCACAUACUGUCUAG